UGGGUGACCUGGCAGGGGAGAUCCCAUAAUCACCAAGGUGGUUUUCUCAGGCUGAGGCCCAUCCCUUGCACUCUAGGCAGGCUGACCCCUGCAAGUUUCUCCAAAUGUGGGAAACUUGACUGCACAAUUUUGUGGCAGUAGGAGCUGGGUUUUUUUUGCUUUCC